GGGCUACGGUGGUCCUCAGCAAAGCUAUGGCUCUCCAGGACAAGGAACUCAAGCUCCUCCUCCACCAUAUCAGGGAGGUUACAACCAAGGCAGGACUGGACCUCCACCACCUCCAUAUCAGGGGGGUUACAAUCAAGGUCAGGGAUCUCCAGUACCUCCAUACCAAGGGCCACCAGGCGGAUACAGUCAAGGCGGAUCUGGGAACUAUAACCAAGGGCCACCAGGAGGUUACAGCCAAGGAGGGCCUAGGAAUU
rnacentral:lncRNA from 1 species